rnacentral:rRNA from 1 species
UGAGAAUUUACCAAAAGGACCGGGACAACCACUGGAAACGGUGGCUAAUACCGGAUGAGCCGAAAAGUAAAAAGGGAAACCUGCCUUUUGAAGAGCUCGCGUCUGAUUAGCUAGUUGGUAGGGUAAAAGCCUACCAAGGCAUCGAUCAGUAGCUGGUCUGAGAGGAUGACCAGCCACACUGGGACUGAGACACGGCCCAGACUCCUACGGGAGGCAGCAGUGGGGAAUUUUCCGCAAUGGGCGAAAGCCUGACGGAGCAAUACCGCGUGAGGGAAGAAGGCUCUUGGGUCGUAAACCUCUUUUAUCAGGGAAGAACAAAAUGACGGUACCUGAAGAAUCAGCCUCGGCUAACUCCGUGCCAGCAGCCGCGGUAAUACGGAGGAGGCAAGCGUUAUCCGGAAUUAUUGGGCGUAAAGCGUCCGCAGGUGGCUCGUCAAGUCUGCUGUCAAAGACCGGGGCUUAACCCUGGAAAGGCAGUGGAAACUGAUAUAGCUAGAGUGCCGUAGGGGUAGAGGGAAUUCCCGGUGUAGCGGUGAAAUGCGUAGAGAUCGGGAAGAACAUCGGUGGCGAAAGCGCUCUACUGGACGGCAACUGACACUCAGGGACGAAAGCUAGGGGAGCGAAUGGGAUUAGAUACCCCAGUAGUCCUAGCCGUA